GUAAAGCUGUGUAGUGAAUUCUUAUUAUGAUAAUUAUGAUUAUGAUUUUAAUUAUAUUGAAGAAGUUGGUAGUCAAGAUAACAGGGUUUGGUCAAACUAGCGUAUAUACAUACCCCGUUUUUAAGCAACUGAUGGCUAGACACAAAAUCUUGGUUGAGAGCUUGAUGAAUUAGAAACAGUUCCUGCAACAGAUUAAACUCUAUCUAAAUAAUACUCAUACGUCAAACUUUAUGCGUUAAGAGUUAGAUUAUGUAUUAGUUUACAGAAGUAGUUAUUGUAGUUUUAUAUCCUAUUUUGAUCUCUUUCUCGAGCAACCACAAGUUUUACUAAUGUAAAAUCUUCAUGAUCAUGUGCUGGUUAAUCAGCAUACUGCUUCAUUAAGCUGUUCCAUGCUGAUGUUCAAAUUAUAGGGCAAAACAGACGGUUCUUUGCUAACUACAAUUUAGGAGAGAUGAAAAUGAAACUAUAUGACACCAUUUAGUUGAAUCGCGCGAAUUAUCAUUUCAAGAUGAGUAUCAGGGUUUGUAGGUGCUUAUGUAAAAAACACAAGUAACAAGGGAUCUUACACGCUCUUCUGGGAGUGUAGAGGUGUGAAGAUGAGGUUGAUGAGUACCAACGUGGCAAAAUAAGCUUUGGGUCUUAGGUUCAACCGAAGUGUGGGAAAGAGCCUUCGAUACUUCCACUGAUGAAACACUCCAUGACCUCCCGAGGAACUCCAUUGACUCGGUUGGGGUUUCUGGCAGUGGACAUGCUGCUGAAAGAGACGAGGUGGCAGCAAGCCAGCAAUAAAGAAAACUAACAGGCAGUAUCAAGUAGAAACAGGUUCACUUGUGAAGUUUAUAGAGGAAGUUGAAGUGUUAUAUAUGGUUGUAGGUGUGUGGUUCAUAUGGAGUUCAAAAUGAACUUUUUCGACUUCUAAGGCUCUGGCUCAGUCCAUUUUCUUUAUCUUUUGUGGAGCCCAGAUUAUAAAUGCACAUUAUAGGAACAGGACCCGUAGAAUGAAAUACAAAUAUUCAAAAAAUGAUUAGAAACUCCAA